rnacentral:lncRNA from 1 species
AUGCUCUUUGUAGCGAUUGGCCAAGGCAGAUGUUGUUUUCAAGUCACCGAAAGAAGACAAUUCAACUCGACAUUCAAGGAUGAGUAACUUGGGUGCUUGGUGAAGGACUUGGGUUUUUAUCAAGGUACAAAUCAUCUUUUUCUUUCUUUUGUUUCGGUAAAUAUCUUCACAACAAUAUUCACUCCAUUUGAUAGAAAUCACAUAGAGUAUUCUUUUGUCACCGGAAAUAUCACAUGUUGAAUCAUCUAAAUCAUAGUAAUCAUGAUGAUGUUGUUAUUCAGCAAUAAAGAUUAUGGGUGACAGUGGAGAGAUUUGUGACACAGUCAGACACACUGUCCAUUAGAGAAAUCACAACUACAUUUCCUAGUUUCGUAUUUCACUCUCAAGUUGAAGAUACCUAAUGAAGCAACUGCAUUCUCUUGCUAGAUUGAUUUUUCUUGGUUGCUUGUGAACUCUCCAACAAAGAUUUGGUUAAGAUGGAUUUAUGAAUUGUUGUAUAUAUUUUCAUUUACUUGAAUUCUGCAUUCCUUUUUUGGCGGGUAGGUUUGGUUUGUCCAUUGAAGAAUUGAAUUUGUUAAUUUCACCUUAGAAUAUUCUGGUGUUUCAGAAUUAGAACCGGAUGAUUAUGAAUAUAAAUUUAUCUGACAAUAUUGUUUCUGAGUGGUUCAAGUAAAAUGAUAAGAAUUUUUUUCAACCCUCCAAUUUUAGAAGAAUGACCCCUGGUAAUUUGAAAUUUGAUAUAGAGGUAAGUAUAAGAAUAUAGGAAUGUAAUUUCCUCAUUUAUAAGAAUGUAAUUUCAUCAUUUAAUUCAUCAUAGUAAAGGAUAUAUAUACAAUGAUAAUGU